rnacentral:rRNA from 1 species
UGCGUAGGGGGCAAGCGUUGUCCGGAAUCAUUGGGCGUAAAGCGCGCGUAGGCGGCCCGGUAAGUCCGCUGUGAAAGUCAAAGGCUCAACCUUUGAAUGUCAGCGGAUACUGCCGGGCUAGAGUCCGGAAGAGGCGAGUGGAACUCCUGGUGUAGCGGUGGAAUGCGCAGAUAUCAGGAAGAACACCAACGGCGAAGGCAGCUCGCUGGGACGGAACUGACGCUAAGGCGCGAAAGCGUGGGGAGCGAACAGG